GAAAUGCGAUAAUUAAUGUGAAUUGCAGAAUUCAGUGAAUCAUCGAAUCUUUGAACGCACAUUGCGCCCCCUGGUAUUCCGGGGGGCAUGCCUGUCCGAGCGUCAUUGCUGCCCUCAAGCACGGCUUGUGUGUUGGGCUUCCGUCCCUGGCAACGGGGACGGGCCCAAAAGGCAGUGGCGGCACCAUGUCUGGUCCUCGAGCGUAUGGGGCUUUGUCACCCGCUCCCGUAGGUCCAGCUGGCAGCUAGCCUCGCAACCAAUCUUUUUAACCAGGUUGACCUCGGAUCAGGUAGGGAUACCCGCUGAACUUAAGC
rnacentral:misc_RNA from 1 species